rnacentral:rRNA from 1 species
GACGAACGCUGGCGGCGUGCCUAACACAUGCAAGUCGAACGGAAAGGCCCUGCUUUUGUGGGGUGCUCGAGUGGCGAACGGGUGAGUAACACGUGAGUAACCUGCCCUUGACUUUGGGAUAACUUCAGGAAACUGGGGCUAAUACCGGAUAGGAGCUCCUGCUGCAUGGUGGGGGUUGGAAAGUUUCGGCGGUUGGGGAUGGACUGGCGGCUUAUUAGCUUGUUGGUGGGGUAGUUGCUUACCAAGGCGUUGACGGGUAGCCGGCCUGAGAGGGUGACCGGCCACAUUGGGACUAAGAUACGGCCCAGACUCCUACGGGAGGCAGCAGUGGGGAAUAUUGCACAAUGGGCGGACGCCUGAUGCAGCAACGCCGCGUGCGGGAUGACGGCCUUCGGGUUGUAAACCGCUUUCGCCUGUGACGAAGCGUGAGUGACGGUAAUGGGUAAAGAAGCACCGGCUAACUACGUG